AACCGAGAACCACCAGAGAUUCCGGUAGUCAAAUCCGAUCCAGCGAAGAGAUUUGACUGUCUAACAUUCAUUGCCAAAGGCGGAUUUGGCAAGGUCUUUAAGGUAAAUUGUUUUCUUUACUCUGCUCUCAUUGUUAUACUGAGUCUUCACCAUGUAGAGCAACUAUUCCUAUAAAAACAAUUAGCUUCCCAAGAACACAGUGCCCCAAUUAUAAUAACUCAGCCUCCCUAUGUAUACCUUAUAGUUCAACUUGUGAUUCUUACAGUUUUGAAUGAAUUCAUCUAUCCUAUACUCUAUACUAAUUCUUUUUUUGGAUUCAAGGUAAUCACAAUAGAUUGUUUUUGUUAUUUGACAGGCUCGCUUAAUUGAGAAAAACGCCACUGUGGCGGUAAAAUUAAUUGACAUCAUAAAGGGUCAAACGAUAAUUUCUGAGGAGCUACAGGAGAUACGUAACCUCAGAAAACUCAACGGGCACAAGAACAUCGUGUCGUUUUAUGAUGCCAUGAUCCACGAAACCGACGAAAGUGACCCUACCCACAGGCUGUGGGUAAGUAUAUACCCCUGAUUUGAAAGUCCAACAUAUUUAUGUUCUAGGUUUGAAUUUGUUUCGUUCUGACUCACACUAACAUGCAUAUCUAA